rnacentral:lncRNA from 1 species
GGUCUCAUCCUCACUCUGCAUCUAUUGGCAAAUAGAAAGUUUCUUCUUUAUGAUUGGACAGAGGGCUGUCAGUAAGACUAAGGAAAAAGCCAAUGGAUCAGGUGGGGCGUGACUUGCCCCACCCUAGCCCUGAGCAGGUACAGAGCCAUCCUUUGGCCCCGGGAAGAGGCCUUCUGUCCCCAGUCCUAUCCUCUAAAAGCUCCAGCUUUUCGUUUCUGUCCUAACUUUCCUGGGGUUGAGUCUCCACCCAGGGCCAACUAGGGGAGAAGGCUGCGAAGAACUCACACUCCUUGCAGACCAGGGGCUUCUUAGCCUAUGAAUCUUUCACUACAGCCCUCUGUCCCCAAGGUUCUGGCACUUCUGGGUGGUCCUUCAGCCCCUGCCCACGGAUGUUGGGGGAGGGGCUUGUUCGGCAUGACCCCUUCAAGGCCAGAUCUGUAGAGACACUAGCAGCCUGAAGACCCUGGAAGUCUCUGGAUCCCCUGCUGGAGGAGUCCUCACUUCAGCUAGAGCUGGAUCACCACCAACGGUACCCAGCAAACAGAGCCAUGGUGCGGGGAUGAAGCAAAGAGACCACCACGCACACCUCCAAGGUCUCAGUGACUCAGUAGGAAUUGGGGCAGCACUCAGAAUCUAGGGCCAGGCCCCUGGGGAAUGUGAGAGUCGAGGUCCUUGAAUAUUUCAUCAGCACUUCAGCUCCGGUUGAAGCAGCAGCCAACUUACCGCUCAUGGAUAAUU